rnacentral:snRNA from 1 species
AAGUGUUACAGCUCUUUUAGAAUUUGUCUAGCAGGCUUUUCAGGUUUUGACAGAAAACCCUCU